CCUACGGGUGGCAGCAGUAGGGAAUAUUGGGCAAUGGGCGAAAGCCUGACCCAGCAACGCCGCGUGUACGAUGAAGGUCUUCGGAUCGUAAAGUACUUUUCUGGGAGAUGAGAAAGGACAGUAUCCCAGGAAUAAGCUUCGGCUAACUACGUGCCAGCAGCCGCGGUAAAACGUAGGAAGCGAGCGUUAUCCGGAUUUACUGGGCGUAAAGCGCGUGUAGGCGGUUUGAUAAGUUGGAUGUGAAAUCUCCUGGCUCAACUGGGAGGGGUCGUUCAAAACU
rnacentral:rRNA from 1 species